rnacentral:tRNA from 1 species
GGUCAGUUAGCUCAAUUGGUUGAGCAUGGUGCUGAUAACACCAAGGUCGAAGGUUCAAUACCCGUUCAGUCCC